rnacentral:rRNA from 1 species
UUCCCAUAGCAAACUGCUCAGUAACACAUGAUCAACUUGCCCCUAUGGAGAAACAUAACCUCGGGAAACUGAGGAUAAUAUUUCAUAAUUGAAUAGGCUUGGAAAAGUUUUUCAAUAAAAGAGAUAAGAAAAAUGGUUCUUAUUUGCCAUAGGAUAGGAUCGUGCUCGAUUAUGGUUGUUGGUGAGGUAACGGCUCACCAAGCCGAUAAUCGAUAGGGGCCGUGAGAGCGGGAGCCCCGAGAUGGGUACUGAGACAACGACCCAGACCUUACGAGGUGCAGCAGGCGCGGGACCUCCGCAAUACACGAAAGUGUGACGGGGUUACCCAAAGUGUCCAGUAUUGGACUGUGGUAGGUGAGUAAUGUCCCCUACUAGAAAGGAGAGGGCAAGGCUGGUGCCAGCCGCCGCGGUAAAACCAGCUCUUCAAGUGGUCGGGAUGAUUAUUGGGCUUAAAGUGUCCGUAGCCGGUUUAGUAAGUUCCUGGUAAAAUCGAGUAGCUUAACUAUUUGUAUGCUAGGAAUACUGCUAUACUAGAGGGCGGGAGAGGUCUGAGGUACUACAGGGGUAGGGGUGAAAUCUUAUAAUCCUUGUAGGACCACCAGUGGCGAAGGCGUCAGACUGGAACGCGCCUGACGGUGAGGGACGAAAGCCAGGGGAGCGAACCGGAUUAGAUACCCGGGUAGUCCUGGCCGUAAACGAUGCAUACUAGGUGAUGGCACGGCCAUGAGCCGUGUCAGUGCCGUAGGGAAACCGUUAAGUGUGCCGCCUGGGAAGUACGGUCGCAAGGCUAAAACUUAAAGGAAUUGGCGGGGGAGCACCACAAGGGGUGAAGCCUGCGGUUCAAUUGGAGUCAACGCCGGA